UGCACAGCACAGCCAGGAAUAGCCAGCACAGAGUUUAGAAACCAGCUUUAGCAUCCCAUGACAUGCUCUUCUUUGUGUUCACAGACGUUCUGAAGCAAACACCAAGUAGUCAUGACUGUAUAUGUGCAAUUUCUCUUCAGCGUUAGCCCUCCGGUCUCCCAAAAUACACAAAGCACCACUCGACACAACUGAGCCAACAUGUCCUCAUCCUUAUAAUCUGGGCAUGGAGUCAAAAGCCAAGAAGUGCAGUUGGCAGAGAAUCCUAGCUGGUAACCCUGCUGAGGGGAAGGGAUACUAAUGUUGCAGUCUGUCUCUUAGGAUUUCUUUUAUGUUCUGGCAUCUUGAAAUUUGCCACACCAAAUGAUAUCUAUCUCCCUGGAAGUGGCUCCUGUGAUCCAGCACAGAGUUGCAAAACUUUCAGUGCUUUGGCCUGAUUGAAAGAGCAAAGAAGUGGAAAACGAGACCCAUCAGUAAUCCAAGCAUGACUUGGGAAGCUCCAGCAGUGUUGUUCAACCCCUCCCCCGCUUACAUCAGGCGCUCCACUUUUAUCAAUCAGUACACUUGCGUUGUUGGACCAUUUCUUCAACUGUGAUCUUCCCCAAGACACAGAGCUCUGCCAGGGAACAACAUUUGGUGUUUGUGGCCAGUCUCCAGAGGGCCACGACAACUCUGUCAUGCAGAGGGACAGCAGCUUGCAUACUCACACAUUUCUGUUGUUAGGCCAUUCACCAGCCAGACACACACAAUGUCAGAAAUGUGCUUGGUCAUUUGCAGCUGUCUUAUCUGCUAACUGAUGGUUCAGGCACUUAGACCAUCAGCCUGCCAACAGGCUGAGCUCAGCCUAGCCCACAGUGUCAUCCUCAAUCUUCAGUUUGGUAAUGUAAGUGGACAACAAAUUCUGCAUGCACCUUUGCCUCCUCUUCAGACACCUAUUCAGAGCAUCCUGGGUGCUGUUAUCUCUUCUAUGCUGCUGUGCUUCCACAGCACUGGGUGACAAGCAGCAUAAUCCUGAUGAAGCAAUCUGCAGUGACAAAAAAGUCUCCAUGAUGGAAAAAACCAGCAUGACCUGUGAGGCGGGGGAUUACAGGUUUUACGUAAGAAAUCCCAUAAAUCCUAAGGGAAAAAACCAAAAAUAUCCACAGCUUUGGUGUGUGCAACUGUUGCUGGGGCUCCAGGGAAUAGCAACAUUUCCCAGAAUGCUUCCCUAAGUUGCUUCCCUGGUUGGGCACUUUUAGCUGUGAACAUGAAAACACAGUUCUGAUGGCAGAAAAGCUGUGGCAUUGUCAACCUGAACCAUGUCACAUGACUGCGCCCUUAACUUAUUACAAAACAAAGGUUCCAGCUGCACUGUGGAUGGAGCCAACACUGCAUGUUGUGAAUAUGCUAUCAGGACAAUGUUGUACUUAUUAUAGGAGCAGCUGCUUGAAAACCAGGAGAGGAGACUGCCAAGAUUUCUGAACCUCCAUUUUUAAUACUUCUGUCUUUGUUUUCUUGAGAAUUUAUAAAGAUUUCCUCCCCAUGCUUGUGGUCCAGAUGCCUGACCUUUUAUAAUGAGGCAACCACACCUAUGAUCCAAAUCGUCUCACUUCUCACAAGGUGGCAUCAUAAUGUUCAAAAUAGCAGAGUCAGGCUGGAAGAGCUAUCACUGAGACUUUUACCAAAGGAAACAGGGAUAGGAAGAGGGAUGAACAGGAACAAAUUUUGUCAGAAGUUCAGAAGUUCCAUCAGGAAUAUGUGGUAGUUUGGUCUACGUGGACAGAAGUGCAGGAGAAUGGGGGAGAAAUAAUGAAAUAGAAUGGGAAGUCAUCUGUGGUUACGUAGGGUUUGUUGUUAUGGGUAGUCUAAUACGUGAGAUCUUGGGUCAGUCUCUAGUUUUAUUAUUUGAAGGUGGUGAUGAAAUAACAGUAAAAACCUCAAAAGGCUUGACUGAUAGCUCAUACAUGGGGGUUCACAGAAUCAUCGUAUCUACAGAUGGAAGGCAUAUUGUACAUUUAUUGGUGUUCUGGCCCGCAUACUUUUAAAAGUGCCACGUGAUCACACUUCCAGUGCUUUGUUUGGGAGACCACUACACAGGCUAAUAGCUCUUAUUAUCAGGAAGAUGUUCCUUAACUUUUCUUACUUCCUCAUACUAACUGCAAGGAAGUCCUCAUUUUAUGAUAUUAAAAAAUUCCACUGCAUCACUGGUGUUCACAUUCUUCAAAUUUUUUCAACUAUUAUCAUAUCCACAUUUAGUUGUCAGUUUGCCAAGCUAUAUGUACGUAACUCUUUUCAACUUCAUAAAUAAAACAAUGUAGUCCUCCACCUGCCAGCCCUUUUCACUGGUUUGCCCUUAACUUUCUCCCAUUUUUUAUUA